rnacentral:rRNA from 1 species
GUCCACGCCGUAAACGAUGGAUACUAGCUGUGGGGACUUCGGUCUCCGUGGCCAAGCGAAAGUGAUAAGUAUCCCACCUGGGGAGUACGUUCGCAAGAAUGAAACUCAAAGGAAUUGACGGGGGCCCGCACAAGCGGUGGAGCAUGUGGUUUAAUUCGAUGAUACGCGAGGAACCUUACCAGGGCUUAAAUGCAUUAUGACAGAUCCAGAGACGGAUUUUUCUUCGGACAUAUUGCAAGGUGC